rnacentral:rRNA from 1 species
UAGGGAAUAUUGGUCAAUGGGCGAGAGCCUGAACCAGCCAUGCCGCGUGCAGGAAGACGGCCUUCUGGGUUGUAAACUGCUUUUAUCAGGGAACAAAAAGGCUCUGCGGAGCAAAUUGCGUGUACCUGAAGAAUAAGCACCGGCUAACUCCGUGCCAGCAGCCGCGGUAAUACGGAGGGUGCAAGCGUUGUCCGGAUUUAUUGGGUUUAAAGGGUGCGUAGGCGGGCAAUUAAGUCAGUGGUGAAAUACUUCGGCUCAACCGGAGAGGUGCCAUUGAUACUGGUUGUCUUGAGUACAGACGAGGUAGGCGGAAUUUAUGGUGUAGCGGUGAAAUGCAUAGAUACCAUAAAGAACACCGAUAGCGAAGGCAGCUUACUGGACUGUAACUGACGCUGAGGCACGAAAGCGUGGGUAGCGAACAGGAUUAGAUACCCCCGUAGUCC